GAUGAACGCUGGCGGCGUGCCUAAUACAUGCAAGUCGAGCGAACGGACGAGAAGCUUGCUUCUCUGAUGUUAGCGGCGGACGGGUGAGUAACACGUGGAUAACCUACCUAUAAGACUGGGAGAACUUCGGGAAACCGGAGCUAAUACCGGAUAAUAUUUUGAACCGCAUGGUUCAAAAGUGAAAGACGGUCUUGCUGUCACUUAUAGAUGGAUCCGCGCUGCAUUAGCUAGUUGGUAAGGUAACGGCUUACCAAGGCAACGAUGCAUAGCCGACCUGAGAGGGUGAUCGGCCACACUGGAACUGAGACACGGUCCAGACUCCUACGGGAGGCAGCAGUAGGGAAUAUUCCGCAAUGGGCGAAAGCCUGACGGAGCAACGCCGCGUGAGUGAUGAAGGUCUUCGGAUCGUAAAACUCUGUUAUUAGGGAAGAACAUAUGUGUAAGUAACUGUGCACAUCUUGACGGUACCUAAUCAGAAAGCCACGGCUAACUACGUG
rnacentral:rRNA from 1 species